rnacentral:rRNA from 1 species
GACAUUACCUAUACCAGAAGCACCGGCUAACUCCGUGCCAGCAGCCGCGGUAAUACGGAGGGUGCAAGCGUUAAUCGGAAUUACUGGGCGUAAAGCGUGCGUAGGCGGUUUUUUAAGUCAGAUGUGAAAGCCCUGGGCUUAACCUGGGAACUGCAUUUGAUACUGGGAGACUAGAGUUUAGUAGAGGGGAGUGGAAUUUCAGGUGUAGCGGUGAAAUGCGUAGAGAUCUGAAGGAACACCAGUGGCGAAGGCGGCUCCCUGGACUAAAACUGACGCUGAGGUACGAAAGCGUGGGUAGCAAACAGGAUUAGAUACCCUGGUAGUCCACGCCGUAAACGAUGUCAACUAACCGUUGGGUUCUUAAAGAACUUAGUGGUGGAGCUAACGUAUUAAGUUGACCGCCUGGGGAGUACGGCCGCAAGGCUAAAACUC